rnacentral:rRNA from 1 species
GACGAACGCUGGCGGCGUGCUUAACACAUGCAAGUCGAACGGAAAGGCCCUGCUUUUGUGGGGUGCUCGAGUGGCGAACGGGUGAGUAACACGUGAGUAACCUGCCCUUGACUUUGGGAUAACUUCAGGAAACUGGGGCUAAUACCGGAUAGGAGCUCCUGCUGCAUGGUGGGGGUUGGAAAGUUUCGGCGGUUGGGGAUGGACCCGCGGCUUAUCAGCUUGUUGGUGGGGUAGUGGCUUACCAAGGCUUUGACGGGUAGCCGGCCUGAGAGGGUGACCGGCCACAUUGGGACUGAGAUACGGCCCAGACUCCUACGGGAGGCAGCAGUGGGGAAUAUUGCACAAUGGGCGGAAGCCUGAUGCAGCAACGCCGCGUGCGGGAUGACGGCCUUCGGGUUGUAAACCGCUUUCGCCUGUGACGAAGCGUGAGUGACGGUAAUGGGUAAAGAAGCACCGGCUAACUACGUGC